rnacentral:rRNA from 1 species
AGAGUUUGAUCAUGGCUCAGAACGAACGUUGGCGGCGUGGAUUAGGCAUGCAAGUCGAACGAAUCCCAGCUCGGUAGCAAUACCGGGCUGGAGGAAGUGGCGAAAGGGGCAGUAAUGCGUGGGUAACCUACCCCGGGGACCGGGAUAGCCACCCUAACGGGUGGGUAAUACCGGGCGAUGCAGCGAGGGGGCAUCUCCUUGCUGUGAAAUGAGUUUCGCCUCGGGAGGGGCUCACGUGGUAUUAGCUUGUUGGUGGGGUAACGGCCCACCAAGGCCAAGAUGCCUAGCAGGUGUGAGAGCACGACCUGCGCCACUGGCACUGAGACACUGGCCAGACUCCUACGGGAGGCUGCAGUCGAGGAUCUUCGGCAAUGGGCGCAAGCCUGACCGAGCGACGCCGCGUGCGCGAUGAAGGCCUUCGGGUUGUAAAGCGCUGUCGAGGGGGAGGAAAGCCCGCAAGGGUCUGACCUAUCCCUGGAGGAAGCACGGGCUAAGUUCGUGCCAGCAGCCGCGGUAAGACGAACCGUGCAAACGUUGUUCGGAAUCACUGGGCUUAAAGGGCGCGUAGGCGGCUCGCCAAGUCGGGGGUGAAAUCUUUCGGCUCAACCGGAAAAGUGCCUUCGAUACUGGCGGGCUGGAGGGAGGUAGGGGCGUGCGGAACUUCCGGUGGAGCGGUGAAAUGCGUUGAUAUCGGAAGGAACGCCGGUGGCGAAAGCGGCACGCUGGAUCUCUUCUGACGCUGAGGCGCGAAAGCUAGGGGAGCGAACGGGAUUAGAUACCCCCGUAGUCC